rnacentral:misc_RNA from 1 species
UAAUGAAGAGUCGGAAAGUUUUGGACCAUCAACAAUUAGUCUCAGAGUGUGUCGAGCAGUUGAGUCGCAUGUUCAAGGUAUGGCAUAUACUUUUGAUCAUGAAUACAUAUUAGCAAAAAGAACAAGUUGGGGAACUUUGGCUACUGACUGAGUUAAUUUAGGAACUCUGUUCUGAUAUUCCUUUCUUUUAUAUGCAUGGUUACACCUUGUUCAAAAAUCCUCAAUAAACCCUUUCUGGAUGAAUUGGAAUUGUAGCAUAGCCAUCAUAAAUUAGCAUAAAAGAGAAAUAAGAAGUUUUGAUGGAGCUUCCUUCAUGUUUUUUCUUUGUUCUUAUGACUAUGGAUUUAAAUUUGCAGCCUGACAUUAAGGCAAUUAAGA